rnacentral:rRNA from 1 species
ACGGGAGGCAGCAGUGAGGAAUAUUGGUCAAUGGGCGGAAGCCUGAACCAGCCAAGUCGCGUGAAGGAAGACGGUAUUAUGUAUUGUAAACUUCUUUAGACGCAGAGAAAUAAGCUCCACGUGUGGAGUGAUGCUAGUAUGCGUAGAAUAAGGAUCGGCUAACUCCGUGCCAGCAGCCGCGGUAAUACGGAGGAUCCGAGCGUUAUCCGGAUUUAUUGGGUUUAAAGGGUGCGCAGGCGGUCUUUUAAGUCAGUGGUUAAAUCGUGGAGCUCAACUCCAUCCCGCCAUUGAUACUGGGAGACUUGAUUGCGGUCGAGGUUGGCGGAAUUCGCCGUGUAGCGGUGAAAUGCAUAGAUAUGGCGAAGAACUCCGAUUGCGUAGGCAGCUGACCAGGCCGUAAAUGACGCUCAUGCACGAAAGUGCGGGGAUCGAACAGGAUUAGAUACCCUGGUA